GCCCGCUUAGCUCAGCGGUUAGAGCAUCUGGCUGUUAACCAGAGGGUCGCAGGUUCGAAUCCUGCAGCGGGCG
rnacentral:tRNA from 2 species